rfam:Triticum urartu cultivar G1812 contig1113587, whole genome shotgun sequence.
CCAUUGCUCAGUUGGUAGAGGACAAGGCUCUUAACCUUGUGGACGUGGGUUCAAUCCCCAUGGUGGG